UUCUGCAUCUAAAAACAAAAAUAAAGUCGUUAUUUCUUUCAUCGAUCAAAUUACCUACCAAUAAUUAUAUUGGUAAAAGUCAAUCAUUGAGGAUUUUCUGCGCAAUCAAUCGCUCGUCGAUCUAUCGAUCGACAUGUAACGUUAAUCUUUUUUAGGCCUGCGCAAACUCACAGUGACCUUAACCAUGAUUUCAUUGAAACUUUAGAUACGAUAUAAUGAUGAAAAUGCUCUAAAAUCGAUGUUAAUAUAGCGAUAAUGAUAAUAAUAAAACGAUUAUUAUUAUUCUUGCGAUCGUGUGAUGAAACAGGAUAAAAAAAUGAAUUAUACUAGAAAUGAACAGUUAGGCUUUUUUACAUCCCUAAAGUGAACCGAUCCGAGUGCCAAACUUCUAUUACAUAUACAUAUUGUGUAAUAUGUAUAAUAGUUAUAUAGGAUUGUAUUUUCCUUGCCGACUGAAUGCCAUUACUCUUGUAAUUCAAAUAAAUUAAAUGUGCGAUGUUA